ACAAGGAGAUUUUGUGAGUGCUACAUCCACCCUGAAGUGGGGGAGUUGGCCUGAGUACAAUAUAAGGCAGCAGAAGAGUCUGGUUUUCCUCCCUUUCGCUCUGGCUGCUGCCUUGAAGUGUUGCCCCUCUGCCAUGCCACCCUGCAUCGGACCCAUUUGAUUAUGGACCGAAACCUCCACAAACAGUGAAUUCCAUGGCCACAUGCUCAGCUGUUUGGUGAUUGCAAGUGGACAACUCCAUGCCAGCUACCACCCUUCAGAUGUUGAAACCUAAGUCAACUCCAGACCCCUGAGAUGGCAACACAGCCUCUACAGUGUGUGGGUGGAAGCCAGGCCUCCCAUACCUCCAUCUGCCUGUGGCCUGUCUGAGAGGGCCCCAGAGGAAGCACACAGAAGCGCCUGCUCUGCUCUGCUGACAUGAAAUCUGAACAUGCAUAAACCAGCAGCAAGGUGAUGUAAUCCCAUCCAAUUUUCACAGAUAAUAUCCAGGGUGGAAAUGUUUCCAAA